CAAUCGGCCCUCUUCAGGGCCACAAAAAUUACUUUUAAUUUAUAA
rfam:Bursaphelenchus xylophilus, Ka4C1 (inbred line), WGS project CADV01000000 data, contig: scaffold00422.3